AGAAUAACACCAUCCCCUGCCCUGAUGAGGGAUUAUAAGAAAGUUAAUAUUUCAUAGCUGUGAGCACUGAUCUGAGUAGUGCCAUGAUAUGUCCUAUGUGAAAUUGGCUAAUGACCAAAAGAUGAGAUAAUUAUCUGCCAAGGGGGUGUCUAUUUAAGGAAGGAGACAAGACAGUACAUGCUAUUUCUGCUCCGUCGCUGGGGCAGGUGACUGACCCAGAGCCUCCAUCUUCUCAGCGUCAUGACAGGGGUGCAGCAUCUAAACCCCAUCCCUCCCCACACGCCACUCCUGUCUUGGGGA